rnacentral:lncRNA from 1 species
GGGAGGCCCGAGAGAGAAGUUCAUCAGAUGGCCGAGAGCUACAGACCUGGGACCUUUGAGAUGUGUCUGCAGACAUAGGACCUUUGAGAACUUGAUCAAAGUCACAAACCCUCUCCUAGGAAGGCGUUCCCACCCCAUUUUGCAGCCGGUUCGUGGGAGAGGCAUUAGGACUCCCGAUGCCUGCUUUGAGCCGUGUCUUGGUGAAGAGCCCUGCUUCUGUGUCCCUUUAAACCCCUCCAGGCCCUGGGGGUCCUGGGCCGAGUCAACAGCUCCGGCUACGUACAAGUGAGCUCUGUGGCUGUGGACGCCCGAGCACUGGUCGCAGUGGACAACAGCACUUUGCGGGGGCUGCUCAUCUUCAAGACUGCCGAGAACCAGCGGGAGGUGGAGGUUUUGCUCACACACGACCUGCCCCAGCCCGGCCCCUCGGGUCUCCCAGCCCACGUCCUGCUGCAGCUGGCCACCGAGAGGCAGGGGCCCCGCUACAGAGGCACCCUGAGGGUCGGAGUGGACGGCAGACAGGUGUGGGGCUCUGCUGGCGGGGCCUCCGAGAGCUGGCAGUGGGAAGGGGGGGUGGGUGGGGACAGCCCGGCGCGGUGGCCCAGCUCACAGCCGUCCAUGCCGACAGGCGUCCGAGGAGCUGACGUUCACUCGGCAGCCAGAGCGCAUCUCCCUGGAGUACACCCUCCAGCACGACGUCCCCAUGCUGCGGACGCUGC